rnacentral:rRNA from 1 species
CCAAUAGCGUAUAUUAAAGUUGUUGCAGUUAAAAAGCUCGUAGUUGAAUUUCGGGAUCAAGGGUUCGGUCAUGCCUCGGUAUGUACUGGUUUUAUUGGUUCUUACCUUCUAAAGAACCAUAAUGUCAUUUAUUUGAUGUUAUGGGGAAUUAGGACUGUUACCUUGAAAAAAUUAGAGUGUUUAAAGCAAGCUUACGCUUGAAUACAUUAGCAUGGAAUAAUGAAAUAGGACAUCAGAUUCUAUUUUGUUGGUUUCUAGGAUCGAUGUAAUGAUUAAUAGGGAUAGUUGGGGGCAUUAGUAUUCAAUUGUCAGAGGUGAAAUUCUUGGAUUUAUUGAAGACUAACUACUGCGAAAGCAUUUGCCAAGGAUGUUUUCAUUAAUCAAGAACGAAAGUUAGGGGAUCGAAGACGAUCAGAUACCGUCGUAGUCUUAACCAUAAACUAUGCCGACUAGGGAUCGGAUGAUGUUAAUUUUUUAAUGACUCAUUCGGCACCUUACA